GCACACAAUGACAACCGCCCCGCGCCCGCGUCGGUCACCGCCCGCGUCCCCCGCGACACCCGCGAUGCCCCCGCGCCGCUCCGCGCCGCCGCCCGCCGCGCCGAGCCGCCAUCUUCGAUCACUCGCCGAUCAACCUUUGCGCGCGACGCGUUACGUCGCGUCCACGCACCACAUAAAUUUGUAUCAAUUCACAGCUACAAAAAAGAACCAAAUGGCAGCAUAACAAAGGAGAGCUACUAGUCGGCGACAUGGUCCUCGUGAAGGACGAUCGCCUUCCGCCUAACCGCUGGCUGCUGGGAAGAGUCACCUGCCUACACCCCGGACCUGACGGCAUCUCACGCGUCGCUGACGUCACCACUGCGACCGGAAGCAUUCGGAGAGCUUACAACCGGCUGUGCCCCCUACCAGCACAUGAACCAUCUUUGGAACAGGAUGUUCCAACCCCGGGAGCCUGUUCACGCACACAAUGACAACCGCCCCGCGCCCGCGUCGGUCACCGCCCGCGUCCCCCGCGACACCCGCGAUGCCCCCGCGCCGCUCCGCGCCGCCGCCCGCCGCGCCGAGCCGCCAUCUUCGAUCACUCGCCGAUCAACCUUUGCGCGCGACGCGUUACGUCGCGUCCACGCACCACAUAAAUUUGUAUCAAUUCACGUAAUAAACCAGUGAAAGUCAAUCAU
rnacentral:misc_RNA from 1 species